rnacentral:rRNA from 1 species
CGCGGCCUAUCAGCUUGUUGGUGGGGUAAUGGCCUACCAAGGCGACGACGGGUAGCCGACCUGAGAGGGUGAUCGGCCACACUGGGACUGAGACACGGCCCAGACUCCUACGGGAGGCAGCAGUGGGGAAUAUUGCACAAUGGGCGCAAGCCUGAUGCAGCGACGCCGCGUGAGGGAUGACGGCCUUCGGGUUGUAAACCUCUUUCGCCAGGGACGAAGCGUAAGUGACGGUACCUGGAGAAGAAGCACCGGCCAACUACGUGCCAGCAGCCGCGGUAAUACGUAGGGUGCGAGCGUUGUCCGGAAUUACUGGGCGUAAAGAGCUCGUAGGCGGUUUGUCGCGUCGUCUGUGAAAUUCUGCAACUCAAUUGUAGGCGUGCAGGCGAUACGGGCAGACUUGAGUACUACAGGGGAGACUGGAAUUCCUGGUGUAGCGGUGAAAUGCGCAGAUAUCAGGAGGAACACCGGUGGCGAAGGCGGGUCUCUGGGUAGUUACUGACGCUGAGGAGCGAAAGCGUGGGGAGCGAACAGGAUUAGAUACCCUGGUAGUCCACGCCGUAAACGGUGGGUACUAGGUGUGGGUUCCAUUUCACGGGAUCCGUGCCGUAGCUAACGCAUUAAGUACCCCGCCUGGGGAGUACGGA